UGGCGACUGUGAGGCUGAUCUGCAAU
rnacentral:piRNA from 1 species